rnacentral:rRNA from 1 species
GGAAUAUUGCUUAAUGGGCGAAAGCCUGAAGCAGCAACGCCGCGUGGACGAAGGAGGCCUUCGGGUCGUAAAGUCCUUUUAUGGGGGAAAAGGAAGGAUGGUACCCCAUGAAUAAGUCUCGGCUAACUACGUGCCAGCAGCCGCGGUAAAACGUAGGAGACGAGCGUUAUCCGGAUUUACUGGGCGUAAAGAGCGUGUAGGAGGCAAUACAAGUUGGAUGUAAAAUCUCCCGGCUUAACUGGGAGGCGUCGUUCAAGACUGUAUAGCUGGAGUGCGGCAGAGGUAAUCGGAACUCCGGGAGUAGCGGUGAAAUGCGUAGAUAUCCGGAAGAACACCAGAGGCGAAAGCGGAUUACUGGGCCGUAACUGACACUGAGACGCGAAAGCCAGGGUAGCAAACG